CGACCUUGUGGUCCUAGAGCACUGGCUGGUUGGUCCCUUUCAAGGCCUUGGAGGAAUCAGAGUGGCUAAAGUUUACUUUGCAUGAGUUGCUGGGUAAUGAGUAUUGCCAGAAGCUACCAAUGUUGAAAUCAUCAAGAUUGCUGCUCUAUCCUACAACAAGUGUUUGCUGGAAAAACAGACUGACUUGGGUGAGAUUUUGUUAAGAUGGCCAUAGACUUGGAAUCUAUUUUUCCUACCUGGAAAGCUUUCAUAUUUAGCAUCAAACAAUUUAUCAGAGAGCUCUAGAAGGACCACCUCACAGUUGAUGUUCAUGACACAAACGAACACUGCCAUUGUUGAGAGAGGUGUUGAGAGAUCUAGAGGUUGAGGUGGAUGGGGAGAACCAAGAGAUGUUGAGAGAUCUAGAAGGACCUCCUCCGCCAUUGUUGAAGACUCAGUCGCCGGGAUGCGGCUAAGGCUAGGCAGUUGACCACCUCCUUUUCUUUGUUAUUUUUUAAAAAAAAAAUAUUUACAUCCUUUGUUUAUGGACCGAAAUGCCCCUCAACAAUUAACCGCAGUUGCUCUAUUUUGACAGAAA